CACGUAGUUAGCCGGCGCUUUCUCUGCACCUACCGUCACUUUCGCUUCUUCGAUGCUAACAGAGGUUUACAACCCGAAGGCCGUCAUCCCUCACGCGGCGUCGCUGCAUCAGGCUUGCGCCCAUUGUGCAAUAUUCCCCACUGCUGCCUCCCGUAGGAGUCUGGGCCGUGUCUCAGUCCCAGUGUGGCCGGUCACCCUCUCAGGCCGGCUACCCGUCGUCGCCUUGGUAAGCCAUUACCUCACCAACAAGCUGAUAGGCCGUGAGCCCAUCUAAAACCACUCCAUAACGCUUUCCACCAACACCCCAUGCGGAGAUUGGUCGUAUCCGGUAUUAGACCCAGUUUCCCAGGCUUAUCCCAGAGUCAAAGGUAGGUCACUCACGUAUUACUCACCCGUUCGCCACUAAUCCACCUAGCAAGCUAGGCUUCAUCGUUCGACUUGCAUGUGUUAAGCACGCCGCCAGCGUUCGUCCUGAGCCAGGAUCAAACUCU
rnacentral:rRNA from 1 species